rnacentral:rRNA from 1 species
UACGGUGGGGGCAAGCGUUGUUCGGAAUUACUGGGCGUAAAGGGCUCGUAGGCGGCCAACUAAGUCAGACGUGAAAUCCCUCGGCUUAACCGGGGAACUGCGUCUGAUACUGGAUGGCUUGAGAUUGGGAGAGGGAUGCGGAAUUCCAGGUGUAGCGGUGAAAUGCGUAGAUAUCUGGAGGAACACCGGUGGCGAAGGCGGCAUCCUGGACCAACACUGACGCUGAGGAGCGAAAGCCAGGGGAGCAAACGGG